CCAGACUCCUACGGGAGGCAGCAGUGGGGAAUAUUGCACAAUGGGGGGAACCCUGAUGCAGCGACGCCGCGUGGGUGAAGGAGUAUUUCGGUAUGUAAAGCCCUAUCAGCAGGGAAGAACAAUGACGGUACCUGACUAAGAAGCACCGGCUAAAUACGUGCCAGCAGCCGCGGUAAUACGUAUGGUGCAAGCGUUAUCCGGAUUCACUGGGUGUAAAGGGAGCGUAGACGGCCAUGCAAGCCAGGGGUGAAAGCCCGGGGCCCAACCCCGGGACUGCCCUUGGAACUGCAUGGCUGGAGUGCGGGAGGGGCAGGCGGAAUUCCUGGUGUAGCGGUGAAAUGCGUAGAUAUUAGGAGGAACACCAGUGGCGAAGGCGGCUUACUGGACUGUAACUGACGUUGAGGCUCGAAAGCGUGGGGAGCAAACAGGAUUAGAUACCCUUGUA
rnacentral:rRNA from 1 species